UAUUGGACAAUGGGGGCAACCCUGAUCCAGCCACGCCGCGUGUGUGAAGAAGGCCUUUUGGUUGUAAAGCACUUUAAGCAGUGAAGAAGACUCUAUGGUUAAUACCCAUAGACGAUGACAUUAGCUGCAGAAUACGCACCGGCUGACUCUGUGCCAGCAGCCGCGGUAAUACAGAGGGUGCAAGCGUUAAUCGGAAUUACUGGGCGUAAAGCGAGCGUAGGUGGCUUAAUAAGUCAGAUGUGAAAUCCCCGGGCUUAACCUGGGAACUGCAUCUGAUACUGUUGGGCUAGAGUAAGUGAGAGGGAGGUAGAAUUUCAGGUGUAGCGGUGAAAUGCGUAGAGAUCUGAAGAAAUACCGAUGGCGAAGGCAGCCUUCUGGCAUAAUACUGACACUGAGGCUCGAAAACGUGGGUAGCAAACA
rnacentral:rRNA from 1 species